ensembl:lncRNA
CUGGUGCCCACAUUGCAGUCAGCAUUUGGCCUCACAUUUUUAAUUUGCUUUGAAGUCUGAUCUUGUCCAGCAACAAGAAGAAGGAGAACUCGACAUUAAAGAGUUUGUUAAUCAUCUCUGCUAGUUCAUAGCCAAUACAAAUUUGUUCCACCGUGUACUUCAUACGCAAUCAUUUAAAAGUGGUAGAUAUAAAAGAAAUUGUUGAAGCUUAAAAAUAACCACAAUAAGCAGCUGUGAAACAGCCACAAACACUCAUUACGGGCUACACCAUUUUCAAGGUAACAAAACAAUGGUUUAUUUUGUUCCCUUCCAGCAAAAUCCAUGCUUCAAAAUCCACUUUUCAUACCAAAUCAGUCUGUCUGUAAGACAAACUAACUGCAGCCCAGAGUGUUUACCUACACACAGCGAAGAGAUGUGCUACGCUGCCUACAAAUUCUGUAACACCACAGCUGUAGUCUUUGGGCUCGUUGCAAACCAGUGAUGGAUAUCUGUUCCUCUGCAUUGCUUCCCUAUCAUAUCUCUUUGUCCUGCUGCUAUAAUCGAUCACAGAUUUUUCCAUCAGGCUUUGUGUCAGGCUGGGAUAGUGAACAUGACUUGCUUAGAACAAACUGCUUCAAAACGUACCAAGCUGAGCUCAGGAGUCAAACUGCUCUAAAAAUGAUUGUUCUGGGCACGUCUGUGAAUCCCAUGCAGUAUCAGGAAGUCAUUAACGUGCUUUGAUGUUAAGGCUUUGGGAUUGCUGUUCUCUAACUAGGAAGCCUGCCACAGCCGUCUCUGCACUGUGGAGCUGGGUUUUAAAUAAUGAGCAUUGCCUGGCUCUUCAUUUUCCUGGUUCAGAAGGAAAUUACUGCUUGGGAGUCAGUGGCUGGGUCUGGAUGAAUUUGCACACAAAUUCGGGGAUUCAAGUUACAAAGUCACACUCGAGCUUUUGUGUUAGGCACUUUCUGCUUGCUAUCAGGAACAAAAAGGAAUGAAAGCAGAACAGCCAUCUCUGCUCUGCAUAGAAAUAUAUUUUAAAGAUUCACAGUGCCUGGUCUUCAUAGGAGAACUAAGCUAUCAGUUCCUGACUUUAAAAGCUCUUCGGGGAUUACUGUUUGUUUUUAUAGUGCGUAGCACAAUUGAGUCCUCAUCUUGGUUGGUGGUUUUAGAUGCACCUGCAGUAAAAAUAGCAAAUGAUUUUAUUUAUUUAUGUUUAUGUGAAGGACAGAGCAUUAUUUGUGGAAGAGAAGUGUAAGGACCUGAUCCCGAUUUGACUAGAGGAGUUUUGGAUUCGUUGUCUUGCAGGACAGCGUAAGGGAGAAGAGAAAAGCGAGGCAGAAAUGAGUGGGAAAUGUUCGUUUUUCUCUGUUAGAAAAAUCAGGAACUUUAAUAAGGU